UACGGAGGGGGCUAGCGUUGUUCGGAAUUACUGGGCGUAAAGCGCACGUAGGCGGCUUUGCAAGUUAGAGGUGAAAGCCCGGGGCUCAACUCCGGAAUUGCCUUUAAAACUACAUCGCUAGAGUUGUGGAGAGGUAAGUGGAAUUCCGAGUGUAGAGGUGAAAUUCGUAGAUAUUCGGAAGAACACCAGUGGCGAAGGCGACUUACUGGACACAUACUGACGCUGAGGUGCGAAAGCGUGGGGAGCAAACAGG
rnacentral:rRNA from 1 species